GACGAACGCUGGCGGCGUGCUUAACACAUGCAAGUCGAACGAAGAGCGAUGGAAGCUUGCUUCUAUCAAUCUUAGUGGCGAACGGGUGAGUAACGCGUAAUCAACCUGCCCUUCAGAGGGGGACAACAGUUGGAAACGACUGCUAAUACCGCAUACGAUCUAAUCUCGGCAUCGAGGAUAGAUGAAAGGUGGCCUCUACAUGUAAGCUAUCACUGAAGGAGGGGAUUGCGGCUGAUUAGCUAGUUGGAGGGGUAACGGCCCACCAAGGGGAAGAUCAGUAGCCGGUCUGAGAGGAUGGACGGCCAAAAUGGGACUGAGACACGGCCCAGGCUCCUAAGGGAGGCAGCAGUGGGGAAUCUUCCGCAAUGGACGAAAGUCUGGCGGAGCAACGCCGCGUGAGUGAAGACGGCCUUCGGGUUGGAAAGCUCUGUUUAUCGGGACGAAAGGCCUUCUUGCGAAUAGGGAGAAGGAUUGACGGUACCGGAAGAGAAAGCCACGGCUAACUACGUG
rnacentral:rRNA from 1 species